AUCCGUGUCUUCAUGGUGCUGAUGGUCUCCGCCAACGGCGCCGCCGAAACCCUAACCCUAGCGCCGGACUUCAUCAAGGGCGGCCGUGCCAUGCGGUCGGUGUUCGAGCUCAUCGACCGGAGGUCGGAGAUUGAGACAGACGACUCCGAUGCCGCCCCGAUCCCAGACCGCCUCCGGGGCGAGGUCGAGUUUCGACACGUCGACUUUGCCUAUCCCUCGCGUCCAGAUGCUCCGGUGCUCCGUGAUCUCACUCUCCG
rnacentral:misc_RNA from 1 species